UGGUNNUNNNNNNCGGNCCNNNUUCCUACGGGAGGCAGCAGUGAGGAANNUUGGUCAAUGGGCGCAAGCCUGAACCAGCCAUCCCGCGUGCAGGAAGACGGCCCUAUGGGUUGUAAACUGCUUUUCCAGGGAGAGAAACCUGCGCACGUGUUGCGCAAUUGACGGUACCCUGGGAAUAAGCAUCGGCUAACUCCGUGCCAGCAGCCGCGGUAAUACGGAGGAUGCAAGCGUUAUCCGGAUUCAUUGGGUUUAAAGGGUGCGUAGGCGGACUAUUAAGUCAGUGGUGAAAGCCUGCAGCUUAACUGCAGAACUGCCAUUGAUACUGAUAGUCUUGAGUUUGGUUAAGGUAGGCGGAAUGUGUAAUGUAGCGGUGAAAUGCUUAGAUAUUACACAGAACACCAAUUGCGUAGGCAGCUUACUGAGCCGACACUGACGCUGAGGCACGAAAGCGUGGGGAUCGAACAGGAUUAGAUACCCUGGUAGUCCACGCCGUAAACGAUGAUUACUCGCUGUUGGCGAUACACUGUCAGCGGCUAAGCAAAAGCAAUAAGUAAUCCACCUGGGGAGUACGGCCGCAAGGUUGAAACUCAAAGGAAUUGACGGGGGCCCGCACAAGCGGAGGAACAUGUGGUUUAAUUCGAUGAUACGCGAGGAACCUUACCUGGGCUUAAAUGUAGAGUGCAUUUUCUAGAGAUAGGAAUUCCCUUCGGGGCUUUCUGCAAGGUGCUGCAUGGUUGUCGUCAGCUCGUGCCGUGAGGUGUCGGGUUAAGUCCCAUAACGAGCGCAACCCUUAUCGUUAGUUGCCAGCUGGUAAAGCAGGGGACUCUAGCGAAACUGCCACCGUAAGGUGAGAGGAAGGUGGGGAUGACGUCAAAUCAGCACGGCCCUUAUGUCCAGGGCUACACACGUGUUACAAUGGUCGGUACAGAGGGCAGCUACCUGGUGACAGGAUGCUAAUCUCCAAAACCGGUCUCAGUUCGGAUCGAAGUCUGCAACUCGACUCCGUGAAGCUGGAUUCGCUAGUAAUCGCGCAUCAGCCAUGGCGCGGUGAAUACGUUCCCGGGCCUUGCACACACCGCCCG
rnacentral:rRNA from 1 species